rnacentral:rRNA from 1 species
AUUGAACGCUGGCGGCAUGCCUUACACAUGCAAGUCGAACGGUAACGGGCCUUCGGGUGCCGCCGAGUGGCGAACGGGUGAGUAAUACAUCGGAACGUGCCCGAUCGUGGGGGAUAACGAGGCGAAAGCUUUGCUAAUACCGCAUACGAUCUACGGUUGAAAGCAGGGGACCGCAAGGCCUUGCGCGGACGGAGCGGCCGAUGGCAGCUUAGGUAGUUGGUGGGAUAAAAGCUUACCAAGCCGACGAUCUGGAGCUGGUAUGAGAGGAUGAUCAGCCACACUGGGAGUGAGACAGGGCCCAGACUCUGAGGGGAGGCAGCAGUGGGGAAUUUUGGACAAUGGGGGAAAGGGUGAUACAGGAAUGCGGCGUGAAGGAUGAAGGAGUUAGGGUUGGAAAGUGAUGAUGUACGGAGCGAAAAGACUUUUUUUAAUACAGGAGGGUAAUGACGGUACCGGAAGAAUAAGCACCGGCUAACUACGUG